GUACUGCAGAAAAUAUUACAAAAUUGUCUUUUGUAUCUAAGUUGUCAUUACCAAACAAUAACAAAUCAAUUGUAACAGGAAUGUCUAAGUGGGUCAGUUCAGUAAGCAUAACAUUUCUUUGCGAUGCAAAGUUAUUACAAUAUAAUAAAUAGUGUUCAACACUUUCACUAGUGUACCCACAUGCACAAUAUGCAUCAUGUACUAAAUUGGCCUUGUUUAAAUCUGCGCUAAGUGCACUGCACUUGUUGCGUAGCCUUGCAUGUAAUAUAGAUAGCAGUCUAUCUCCAUAAAAAUAGUACCUAGGAGGUUUUACAUUAUGAAAAUACAGUUGUUGCAAUUG
rnacentral:lncRNA from 1 species